GAUGAACGCUGGCGGCGUGCCUAAUACAUGCAAGUCGAGCGAACAGAUGAGGAGCUUGCUCCUCUGACGUUAGCGGCGGACGGGUGAGUAACACGUGGGUAACCUACCUAUAAGACUGGGAUAACUUCGGGAAACCGGAGCUAAUACCGGAUAACAUUUUGAACCGCAUGGUUCUAUAGUGAAAGAUGGUUUUGCUAUCACUUAUAGAUGGACCCGCGCCGCAUUAGCUAGUUGGUAAGGUAACGGCUUACCAAGGCAACGAUGCGUAGCCGACCUGAGAGGGUGAUCGGCCACACUGGAACUGAGACACGGUCCAGACUCCUACGGGAGGCAGCAGUAGGGAAUCUUCCGCAAUGGGCGAAAGCCUGACGGAGCAACGCCGCGUGAGUGAUGAAGGUCUUCGGAUCGUAAAACUCUGUUAUUAGGGAAGAACAAAUGUGUAAGUAACUAUGCACGUCUUGACGGUACCUAAUCAGAAAGCCACGGCUAACUACGUG
rnacentral:rRNA from 1 species